GUAAGGGUGCUGUGUGUGUGAGGGUGCUGUUAGUGUGUGUGUGUAAGGGUGCUGUGUGUGUGAGGGUGCUGUUAGUGUGUGUGUGUAAGGGUGUGUGUGCUGUAUGUGUGUAGAUGCUGUGUGUGGGGGGUGCUGUAUGUUUGGGUGAUUGUGUGUAUUGUGUGGGGGCCGUUUAGUAAAUAUCCCCCUCCCUUCCUACCUUAUGCCUGGGAGGGGGGAUCCUUGUUCCUGCUGCUUCCAUCCCUGGUGGUCCAGUGGAGAGUGAACUCUAGC